rnacentral:rRNA from 1 species
CUCGUAGGCGGCCAACUAAGUCGGACGUGAAAUCCCUCGGCUUAACCGGGGAACUGCGUCCGAUACUGGAUGGCUAGAGUUCGGGAGAGGGAUGCGGAAUUCCAGGUGUAGCGAUGAAAUGCGUAGAUAUCUGGAGGAACACCGGUGGCGAAGGCGGCAUCCUGGACCGACACUGACGCUGAGGAGCGAAAGCCAGGGGAGCAAAAC